CCUACGGGGGGCAGCAGUGGGGAAUAUUGCUCAAUGGGGGAAACCCUGAAGCAGCGACGCCGCGUGAAGGAUGAAGGCUUUAGGUAUGUAAAGCUCUUUUUUUAGAGAAGAUAAUGACGGUAUCUGAGGAAUAAGCACCGGCUAACUACGUGCCAGCAGCCGCGGUAAUACGGAGGGUGCCAGCGUUAUCCGGAUUUACUGGGCGUAAAGGGGGCGUAGACGGGGUGAUAAGUCAGGAGUGAAAUGCUGCGGCUCAACCCCAGAACUGCAUUUGAAACUGUAAGGCUGGAGUGCAGGAGAGGUAAGUGGAAUUCUUGGUGUAGCGGUGAAAUGCGUAGAGAUCAGGAGGAACACCAAUUGCGAAGGCGGCUUACUGGACUGUAACUGACGUUGAUGCUCGAAAGCGUGGGGAGCAAACAGGAUUAGAUACCCGUGUAGUC
rnacentral:rRNA from 1 species